rnacentral:rRNA from 1 species
UUGAACGCUGGCGGCAGGCCUAACACAUGCAAGUCGAGCGGUAACAUUUCUAGCUUGCUAGAAGAUGACGAGCGGCGGACGGGUGAGUAACGCGUGAGAAUCUACCCAUGAGUGGGGGACAACCCGGGGAAACUCGGGCUAAUACCGCAUACGCCCUACGGGGUAAAGCAGGGGACCUUCGGGCCUUGCGCUGAUGGAUGAGCUCGCGUCGGAUUAGCUUGUUGGCGAGGUAAAAGCUCACCAAGGCGACGAUCCGUAGCUGGUCUGAGAGGAUGAUCAGCCACACUGGGACUGAGACACGGCCCAGACUCCUACGGGAGGCAGCAGUGGGGAAUAUUGGACAAUGGGCGCAAGCCUGAUCCAGCCAUGCCGCGUGUGUGAAGAAGGCCUUAGGGUUGUAAAGCACUUUCAGCAGUGAGGAAAGGGGUGUCGUUAAUAGCGCCAUCCUGUGACGUUAACUGCAGAAGAAGGACCGGCUAACUCCGUG